AACGAACGUUAGCGGCGCGCCUAACACAUGCAAGUCGCACGAGAAAGGGCUUCGGCCCCGGUAAAGUGGCGCACGGGUGAGUAACACGUGGGUAAUCUGCCCUCGAGCGGGGGAUAACAUUCCGAAAGGAGUGCUAAUACCGCAUAAGACUACGACCUCGAAAGAGGAUGCAGUCAAAGCUGGCCUCUAUACAUAAGCUAGCACUUGAGGAUGAGCCCGCGGCGCAUCACGGUAGUUGGUGAGGUAAUGGCUCACCAAGCCUAAGACGCGUAGCUGGUCUGAGAGGAUGAUCAGCCACACUGGAACUGAGACACGGUCCAGACUCCUACGGGAGGCAGCAGUGGGGAAUCUUGCGCAAUGGGCGAAAGCCUGACGCAGCGACGCCGCGUGAGUGAUGAAGGCCUUCGGGUUGUAAAGCUCUGUGGGGCGAGACGAAUAAGUGCAGCCUAAUACGUUGCAUGAUGACGGUAUCGCCUUAGCAAGCACCGGGUAACUCUGUGCCAGCAGCCGCGGUAAGACAGAGGGUGCAAAACGUUGUUCGGAAUUACUGGGCGUAAAGCGUGUGUAGGCGGUCUCAUAAGUCGGGUGUGAAGCCCCGGGCUCAACCCGGGAAGUGCACUCGAAACUGCGAGGCUAGAGUACUGGAGAGGUUGGUGGAAUUCUCGGUGUAGAGGUGAAAUUCGUAGAUAUCGAGAGGAACACCGGUGGCGAAGGCGGCCAACUGGACAGAUACUGACGCUGAGACACGAAAGCGUGGGGGAGCAAA
rnacentral:rRNA from 1 species